GGAAAGAUGGCUGAGUGGUCGAAAGCGGCGGAUUGCUAAUCCGUUGUAUGUUUUUGCAUACCGGGGGUUCGAAUCCCCCUCUUUCCG
rnacentral:tRNA from 1 species